UAGAGUUUGAUCCUGGCUCAGGACGAACGCUGGCGGCGUGCUUAACACAUGCAAGUCGAACGGUGACGAGAAGCUUGCUUCUCUGAUCAGUGGCGAACGGGUGAGUAACACGUGAGCAACCUACCCUUGACACUGGGAUAACAGUUGGAAACAGCUGCUAAUACCGGAUACGAACUCAGCAGGCAUCUGCCGAGUUGGAAAGCUCCGACGGUCAAGGAUGGGCUCGCGGCCUAUCAGCUUGUUGGUGAGGUAACGGCUCACCAAGGCGACGACGGGUAGCCGGCCUGAGAGGGCGACCGGCCACACUGGGACUGAGAUACGGCCCAGACUCCUACGGGAGGCAGCAGUGGGGAAUAUUGCGCAAUGGGCGAAAGCCUGACGCAGCGACGCCGCGUGAGGGAUGAAGGCCUUCGGGUUGUAAACCUCUUUCGGCAGGGAAGAAGCGAGAGUGACGGUACCUGCAGAAGAAGCACCGGCUAACUACGUGCCAGCAGCCGCGGUAAU
rnacentral:rRNA from 1 species